UACAGAGGUCCCAAGCGUUGUUCGGAUUCAUUGGGCGUAAAGGGUGCGUAGGUGGCGCCGUAAGUGGGGUGUGAAAUUUCGGAGCUUAACUCCGAAACUGCAUUCCAUACUGCGGUGCUUGAGGACUGGAGAGGAGACUGGAAUUUACGGUGUAGCAGUGAAAUGCGUAGAGAUCGUAAGGAAGACCAGUGGCGAAGGCGGGUCUCUGGACAGUUCCUGACGCUGAGGAGCGAAAGCGUGGGGAGCGAACAGG
rnacentral:rRNA from 1 species